CAAUAGAUAAGAUUGAAGGCGUUAAUUUUUACAUCAACCAUGCAAAAAUAACCAUUGACACAGCUUGUAUGGGU
rnacentral:misc_RNA from 1 species